GUAAGGGAAAAAAGAUUUUAAAAAAAGAUUUUUUUCCUAAAAUUCCCCUUUCCUUCACUUAAUAUCAUACUUCGUCUCAGUGAAUAUUCACUUUAGAUUGCUUAGUCCAUCUCAUUAUUAAUUCAUUGUUAAAACAAUUUGAAUAUAAGAAUUAUUGUCAAUAAUUAUAAUUCUUGUUGUAUAGGUUUACAACGUGUAAUUAAAUAAAAAAUGGCGAAACGCUUUCCCUUUCAGUUGAUUUUAUUCAACGAUUGACCAAAAUAUUAAUAAUUAAUAAAUAAAUUAUUCACUUUUAUUAAUAAAUUUCAUGAACUUAAAUCAAUCAAAUAAUGAUAUUUCUAUACAUAUGGAAUUAUUCGGCCUAAUCAAUUUGGCCAUUUAGAUUUAUCUAGGUGGAAUAUUAAGAAAAGGUAAGGUUCAAAAGAAUUUACAAAAAAGGAAUUUUUUUGAGUAUUUUAGAAAGGGUCGGUUAGGAGAGGGAGGUAUCUGUAAUUGAAUAACUAUAAGCCAACCCUUCUAGAUGUUUCGACGCUGUCGGUUAGGAGAUGGAGGUAUCUGUAAUUGAAUAACUAUAAGCCAACCAUUCUAGAUGAUUCAACGCUUGAUUCUCGAAUAUGAUUGAAUCUAAGAUGAAU
rnacentral:lncRNA from 1 species